CGACGUGGGCAACCUGCCUUAUACAGGGGGAUAACAGCUGGAAACAGCUGCUAAUACCGCAUAAGCGCACAGUGCUGCAUGGUACAGUGUGAAAAACUGAGGUGGUAUAAGAUGGGCCCGCGCCUGAUUAGCUGGUUGGGAGGGUAACGGCCUACCAAGGCGACGAUCAGUAGCUGGCCUGAGAGGGCGGACGGCCACAUUGGGACUGAGACACGGCCCAGACUCCUACGGGAGGCAGCAG
rnacentral:rRNA from 1 species